UACGGGGGGGGCAAGCGUUGUUCGGAAUUACUGGGCGUAAAGGGUUUGUAGGUGGCCAACUAAGUCAGACGUGAAAUCCCUCAGCUUAACUGGGGAACUGCGUCUGAGACUGGAUGGCUCGAGUGCAGGAGAGGAACGCGGAAUUCCAGGUGUAGCGGUGAAAUGCGUAGAUAUCUGGAGGAACACCGGUGGCGAAGGCGGCAUCCUGGACCAACACUGACGCUGAGUGAGCGAAAGCCAGGGGAGCAAACGGG
rnacentral:rRNA from 1 species